rnacentral:rRNA from 1 species
AUGAAGGCCUUAGGGUCGUAAAGCACUUUCGCCAGGGAUGAAAAUGACAGUACCUGGUAAAGAAACCCCGGCUAACUCCGUGCCAGCAGCCGCGGUAAUACGGAGGGGGUUAGCGUUGUUCGGAAUUACUGGGCGUAAAGCGUACGUAGGCGGAUCAGAAAGUUGGGGGUGAAAUCCCGGGGCUCAACCCCGGAACUGCCUCCUAAACUCCUGGUCUUGACUUCGAUAGAGGUGAGUGGAAUUCCAAGUGUAGAGGUGAAAUUCGUAUAUAUUUGGAGGAACACCAUUGGCGAAGGUGGCUCACUGGCUCGAUACUGACGCU